rnacentral:rRNA from 1 species
GUGGGGAAUAUUGGACAAUGGGCGAAAGCCUGAUCCAGCCAUGCCGCGUGUGUGAAGAAGGCCUUCGGGUCGUAAAGCACUUUAAGUUGGGAGGAAGGGCUCAUAGCGAAUACCUGUGAGUUUUGACGUUACCAACAGAAUAAGCACCGGCUAACUUCGUGCCAGCAGCCGCGGUAAUACGAAGGGUGCAAGCGUUAAUCGGAAUUACUGGGCGUAAAGCGCGCGUAGGUGGCUUGAUAAGUUGGAUGUGAAAUCCCCGGGCUCAACCUGGGAACUGCAUCCAAAACUGUCUGGCUAGAGUGCGGUAGAGGGUAGUGGAAUUUCCAGUGUAGCGGUGAAAUGCGUAGAUAUUGGAAGGAACACCAGUGGCGAAGGCGACUACCUGGACUGACACUGACACUGAGGUGCGAAAGCGUGGGGAGCAAACAGGAUUAGAAACCCCAGUAGUCC